rnacentral:rRNA from 1 species
ACUCCUACGGGAGGCAGCAGUGGGGAAUAUUGCACAAUGGGGGAAACCCUGAUGCAGCCAUGCCGCGUGUGUGAAGAAGGCCUUCGGGUUGUAAAGCACUUUCAGUAGGGAGGAAGGUAGUGUAGUUAACACCUGCCAUUAUUUGACGUUACCUACAGAAGAAGCACCGGCUAACUCCGUGCCAGCAGCCGCGGUAAUACGGAGGGUGCGAGCGUUAAUCGGAAUUACUGGGCGUAAAGCGCAUGCAGGCGGCCUGUUAAGUCAGAUGUGAAAGCCCGGGGCUUAACCUCGGAAUUGCAUUUGAAACUGGCAGGCUAGAGUCUUGUAGAGGGGGGUAGAAUUUCAGGUGUAGCGGUGAAAUGCGUAGAGAUCUGAAGGAAUACCAGUGGCGAAGGCGGCCCCCCUGGACAAAGACUGACGCUCAGAUGCGAAAGCGUGGGGAGCAAACAGGAUUAGAUACCCUGGUAGCACAG